rnacentral:rRNA from 1 species
AUUCCAGCUCCAAUAGCGUAUAUUUAAGUUGUUGCAGUUAAAAAGCUCGUAGUUGGAUCUUGGGUCGUAAGGGUCGGUCCGCCUACUCGGUGUGCACCUGCCCUUCCGUCCCUUUUGUCGGCGGCGUGCUCCUGGCCUUAAUUGGCUGGGUCGCGGUUCCGGCGCUGUUACUUUGAAAAAAUUAGAGUGCUCAAAGCAAGCUUAUGCUCUGAAUACAUUAGCAUGGAAUAACGUGAUAGGAGUCUGGUCCUAUUGUGUUGGCCUUCGGGACCGGAGUAAUGAUUAAUAGGGACUGUCGGGGGCAUUCGUAUUUCAUUGUCAGAGGUGAAAUUCUUGGAUUUAUGAAAGACGGACCACUGCGAAAGCAUUUGCCAAGGAUGUUUUCAUUG